UAAUACGGAGGAUGCAAGCGUUAUCCGGAUUCAUUGGGUUUAAAGGGUGCGCAGGCGGGCAUAUAAGUCAGAGGUGAAAUGCUACGGCUCAACCGUGGAACUGCCUUUGAUACUGUAUGUCUUGAGUUUAAUUGAAGUGGGCGGAAUGUAGCAUGUAGCGGUGAAAUGCAUAGAGAUGCUACAGAACACCGAUAGCGAAGGCAGCUCACUAAGUUACAACUGACGCUCAUGCACGAAAGCGUGGGGAUCAAACAGGAUUAGAUACCCUGGUAGUCCACGCUGUAAACGAUGAUCACUCGUUGUUGGCGAUACACAGUCAGCGGCUAAGCGAAAGUGAUAAGUGAUCCACCUGGGGAGUACGAUCGCAAGGUUGAAACUCAAAUGAAUUGACGG
rnacentral:rRNA from 2 species